GCACGGGUGAGUAACACGUAUCCAACCUGCCGAUAACUCGGGGAUAGCCUUUCGAAAGAAAGAUUAAUAUCCGAUAGUAUAUUAAAACCGCAUGGUUUUACUAUUAAAGAAUUUCGGUUAUCGAUGGGGAUGCGUUCCAUUAGUUUGUUGGCGGGGUAACGGCCCACCAAGACUACGAUGGAUAGGGGUUCUGAGAGGAAGGUCCCCCACAUUGGAACUGAGACACGGUCCAAACUCCUACGGGAGGCAGCAGUGAGGAAUAUUGGUCAAUGGACGAGAGUCUGAACCAGCCAAGUAGCGUGAAGGAUGACUGCCCUAUGGGUUGUAAACUUCUUUUAUAUGGGAAUAAAGUAUUCCACGUGUGGAAUUUUGUAUGUACCAUAUGAAUAAGGAUCGGCUAACUCCGUGCCAGCAGCCGCGGUAAUACGGAGGAUCCGAGCGUUAUCCGGAUUUAUUGGGUUUAAAGGGAGCGUAGGUGGAUUGUUAAGUCAGUUGUGAAAGUUUGCGGCUCAACCGUAAAAUUGCAGUUGAAACUGGCAGUCUUGAGUACAGUAGAGGUGGGCGGAAUUCGUGGUGUAGCGGUGAAAUGCUUAGAUAUCACGAAGAACUCCGAUUGCGAAGGCAGCUCACUAGACUGCA
rnacentral:rRNA from 1 species